GACGAACGCUGGCGGCGUGCUUAACACAUGCAAGUCGAACGGAAAGGCCCUGCUUUCGUGGGGUGCUCGAGUGGCGAACGGGUGAGUAACACGUGAGUAACCUGCUCUUGACUUUGGGAUAACUUCAGGAAACUGGGGUUAAUACCGGAUAGGAGCUCCUGCUGCAUGGUGGGGGUUGGAAAGUUUCGGCGGUUGGGGAUGGAUUCGCGGCUGAUCAGCUUGUUGGUGGGGUAGUGGCUUACCAAGGCUUUGACGGGUAGCCGGCCUGAGAGGGUGACCGGCCACAAUGGUACUGAGAUACGGCCCAGACUCGUACGGGAGGCAGCAGUGGGGAAUAUUGCACAAUGGGCGGAAGCCUGAGGCAGCAACGCCGCGUGCGGGAUGACGGCCUUCGGGUUGUAAACCGCUUUCGCCUGUGACGAAGCGUGAGUGACGGUAAUGAGUAAAGAAGCACCGGCUAACUACGUG
rnacentral:rRNA from 1 species